CUUGGGCCUAAGGCGAGGCAGAAAUGCGUAGUCGAUGGACAGCAGGUUGAGAUUCCUGCACCCGUAAUGAACAGAACUGUAGUGACACGGAAGGUAAGACAGAGCCGGGAAUGAGAAAACCGGUGCAAGCACAAUAGAUGUGUGGGAGGAAAAUCCCCCGCAUAAGUCAAAGGUGUGAUGCGGACCGAAAAAGAGUAGGGAAGCUGUUAAGCAAGCCGUCAAGAAAAGCUGCUAUUGUUUCAUUAUGGCCCGUACCGUAAACCGACACAGGUGGAUGGGGAGAGAAUCCUAAGGCCGGCAGAAGAAGUAUUGUUAAGGAACUCGGCAAAAUGACCCCGUAACUUCGGGAGAAGGGGUGCCUGCGAGAGCAGGCCGCAGAGAAGAGGCCCAAGCAACUGUUUAGCAAAAACACAGGUCUAUGCAAAACCGAAAGGUGAGGUAUAUGGGCUGACGCCUGCCCGGUGCUGGAAGGUUAAGGGGAGUGGUCAGGAAACGAAGCCACGAACUUAAGCCCCAGUAAACGGCGGCCGUAACAAUAACGGUCCUAAGGUAGCGAAAUUCCUUGUCGGGUAAGUUCCGACCCGCACGGAAGGCGUAAUGAUUUGGGCGCUGUCUCGACAAUACAUCCGGUGAAAUUGAAGUGCCAGUGAAGAUGCUGGCUACCUGCGCCAGGACGGAAAGACCCCAUGGAGCUUUACUCCAGCUUGAUACUGGGACCCGGUAUUGCAUGUACAGGAUAGGUGGGAGGCUAGGAAAUGUGGACGCCAGUCUGCAUGGAGCCGCUGUUGGGAUACCACCCUUGUGGUGCUGGGUUUCUAACCAGAGGCCGUGAACCGGUCUGGGGACAAUGUCAGGUGGGGAGUUUGACUGGGGCGGUCGCCUCCGAAAGGGGUAUCGGAGGCGCCCAAAGGUUCCCUCAGAAUGGUUGGAAACCAUUCGAAGAGUGCAAAGGCAGAAGGGAGCUUGACUGCGACACCGACGGGUGGAGCAGGUACGAAAGUAGGGCUUAGUGAUCCGGUGGAAUUUAAGUGGGAAUGCCAUCGCUCAACGGAUAAAAGCUACCCUGGGAUAACAGGCUGAUCACUCCCAAGAGUUCACAUCGACGGAGUGGUUUGGCACCUCGAUGUCGGCUCAUCGCAUCCUGGGGCUGAAGUCGGUCCCAAGGGUUGGGCUGUUCGCCCAUUAAAGCGGUACGCGAGCUGGGUUCAGAACGUCGUGAGACAGUUCGGUCCCUAUCCGGCGUGGGCGUAGGAUAUCUGAGAGGAGCUGUCCUUAGUACGAGAGGACCGGGAUGGACUGACCUCUGGUGUACCGGUUGGCGAUCAACGCCACGGCCGGGUAGCCAUGUCGGGACGGGAUAAACGCUGAAGGCAUCUAAGCGUGAAGCCCCCCUCAAGAUGAGAUAUCCCAUCGUAAGAGUAAGACCCCUUGAAGACGACGAGGUUGAUAGGGCAGGGGUGGAAGUGCUGUAAGGCAUGGAGCUGACUGCUACUAAUCGGUCGAGGGCUUGAUC
rnacentral:rRNA from 1 species